rnacentral:misc_RNA from 1 species
AAGGAUCAUUAUCGAUUGAUUUUUGUUGUUGCGUGUGCAAACACCUCCAGCAAAAACAUAAUCCACUGCGAAACGUUGAUUGUUUUUACAACAACCAAUUUUUUUAACCACCAAACAACAAGCUGAUUGUAUGAGCACAACGAUAUUUCUGAAUUAAAAACAAAAUCACAAUCGUGACAACUUUUAACAACGGAUAUCUUGGCUCUC